UCCGAGUUGACCCCGGCAGUCUCCUACGAGUCCCCACCAUUACGUGCUGGCAACAUAGGACAAGGGUUGCGCUCGUUGCGGGACUUAACCCGACAUCUCACGACACGAGCUGACGACAGCCAUGCACCACCUGUACACAGGCCACAAGGGAAUACCUAUCUCUAGGCACGUCCUGUGCAUGUCAAACCCAGGUAAGGUUCUUCGCGUUGCGUCGAAUUAAACCACAUGCUCCACCGCUUGUGCGGGCCCCCGUCAAUUCGUUUGAGUUUCAGCCUUGCGACCGUACUCCCCAGGCGGGGCACUUACUGCGUUAGCGCCGGCACCGACGGGAUUAUACCGCCGACACCUAGUGCCCAUCGUUUACAGCGUGGACUAC
rnacentral:misc_RNA from 1 species